UUUUUCCCCAAUUCCCUUCUCUGCGAUUCACUUCUCUCAUUCCCCGAUCAACUCUCCUCUUCUCACUAUUUCUCUAUCUCUCUCUCGAGAUCUCUCACUCUCUCGAUCUCUAUCGUGAGCUGUACGUGUACUGGUGCAUUUUCUGUCUAGAAGAGAAGAGAAUAAAGAAAAAUGGAGUAUCGUGAGAGGUCCGUGUUGUGUGGAAUCUGUCCGGACUAUGGCGAGGUGAGUGUGUGUGUUAUGUGUUCCAUG
rnacentral:lncRNA from 1 species